rnacentral:rRNA from 1 species
GACGAACGCUGGCGGCGUGCCUAAUACAUGCAAGUCGAGCGGACCUCUCCGGAGGUCAGCGGCGGACGGGUGAGUAACACGUGGGCAACCUGCCUGUAAGACUGGGAUAACACCGGGAACCCGGUGCUAAUACCGGAUAAUCAUUUUCCUCACAUGAGGGGAAGCUGAAAGACGGUUUCGGCUGUCACUUACAGAUGGGCCCGCGGCGCAUUAGCUAGUUGGUGGGGUAACGGCCCACCAAGGCGACGAUGCGUAGCCGACCUGAGAGGGCGAUCGGCCACACUGGGACUGAGACACGGCCCAGACUCCUACGGGAGGCAGCAGUAGGGAAUCUUCCGCAAUGGACGAAAGUCUGACGGAGCAACGCCGCGUGAGCGAAGAAGGCCUUCGGGUCGUAAAGCUCUGUUGUCAGGGAAGAACACGUACCGGAGUAACUGCCGGUACCUUGACGGUACCUGACCAGAAAGCCACGGCUAACUACGUGCCAGCCGCCGCCGUAAGAC